GGUCAAUGAUGAUUGGUAAAAGGUCUGAUUGCACUUCAUGUCACAUUCCCUUCCCUGCCCUCAGCUCCCAGCAGCCCAUUUGUUCCCUCCUGGCACAUUUAAGUUGUGUGCAUGGGGUCAUGGAGCAGCUGACAAUUGGGGAUUCGGUCAGUGUGUGUCUCUGAGAGUGAGCGGUGCACAGCUGACAGGCAUCCAACAGAGCCGGCCGUACAGGAGGUUGAUGAGAGGCAGGCGUGGCUGUGGUGGUGCAUGACCUCAAGUUUUCAAUCUGAGACC